GCCUGGGUGGCUCAGUCAAUUGAGCGUCUGACUUCAGUUCAGGUCACGAUCUUGGGGUUUGUGAGUUCGAGCCCCACAUCGGGCU
rnacentral:tRNA from 1 species